AGAGUUGAUCAUGGCUCAGGAUGAACGCUGGCGGCGUGCCUAACACAUGCAAGUCGAACGAAGCAUACGGACUGGAGAUUCGUCGAAGGACUGUAUGACUUAGUGGCGGACGGGUGAGUAAUGUAUGAGCAACCUGCCUUUCAGAGGGGGACAACAGUUGGAAACGACUGCUAAUACCGCGUAACGUAUCGUGAGGGCAUCCUCGUGAUACCAAAGGAGCAAUCCGCUGAAAGAUGGGCUCAUAUCUGAUUAGCUUGUUGGCGGGGUAACGGCCCACCAAGGCGACGAUCAGUAGCCGGACUGAGAGGUUGAACGGCCACAUUGGGACUGAGAUACGGCCCAGACUCCUACGGGAGGCAGCAGUGGGGAAUAUUGGGCAAUGGGCGAAAGCCUGACCCAGCAACGCCGCGUGAAGGAAGAAGGUCUUCGGAUUGUAAACUUCUUUUAUGAGGGACGAAGGACGUGACGGUACCUCAUGAAUAAGCCACGGCUAACUACGUGCCAGCCGCAGC
rnacentral:rRNA from 1 species